ensembl:lncRNA
GAACCACUUGAGUACACACAUUCAAUUAGAUAUAUAGCUCACAACACUGCUGAUAUCUGUUCAGCUGCAGCCACGAAUCGAGAAGCUGGUUCACAUCAGGAAAGGUGUAAAAUAAACUUCAACCUCCCUCUGUUGUUCCUCUUACAUCUCACAGCUUGCAUUCCCUUAUUAUACAGUCUACUCCCCUCUCUAAUCCCACAAAAAGUUGAGAAAGCAUAUUAAAUGUAAGUGAGGGAGAGUUGCUACUGUUACUAAUUGGAUUGACGCUGGCGGGCAUUGGCUCUGCGGUACAACUGGAGCAAACGAAAGAGAACACGAAGAUUCUCUUUGGCUGAGGUUAUUAUUAGGCACUGACAGAGGUAAUUCACUUAGAUCAAAUGGAUUACAUGUUUGCAAUUUAUUGACUGUGUACUGUGAUAGUGGCACAGUGGUCGUUCCUGUGUAGCAACAAGAUUCUGGGAUCAAACUCAGUCUGUUGGUUUCUUUUUUUUUUUUUUAUCUUUCAGAAAGACAGUUUCACACACUGCAGACUUUGCAAGAUCAUAAUCAGUAUAUUAAAGCAAAUGCAUGUCAUACAUUGUGAGUGGAUCCUGUAUCUGUUCUUUGUUUCAACUUUACUAAUACAUAAUACUGCCUUCUGCUCUUACAUUUACUUAUUCAUUGGUUAUUUAGUUUCUCUUCAUCUUAUUUGAAAUAAUUAAAGUCCUGCAAGAUGUCUGAUAUAAGGUUUUGCCCAUACAAUUUAAUCUCAACAUUACCAUAAUUCAAGAAGAAGAAUCUUCCUUUCACAAACAAAGUAUUGCUCUACUUGAAGUCCACCAAUGAUCAAAUGUACAUUUCUUGGCUUGGACAGGGCAUCAUUAAUCUUGUAGAAUCUUUUUUGUCUAUUUGCGGUCAGCUUGAAUUCAGCUAAAACAUCCAUUCAUUUUCUUCCACUUAUCCAAUUCAGAGUAGUGAGGGGGCUGAAGCCUUUCCCUGAUGCCAUGGGCUGAAAGGCGGGGUACAGGUCGCCAGUCUGUCACAGGGCUAACACAGAGAGAUGGACAACCAUUCAGAGUCAAUUUAAGAUUACCAGUUAACAGAGGAGGAACCAAGUCAUUGUUUUGCAAGUCUCAAGUAAGUCUCAAGUCUUUAUCCUCAAGUCACAAGUCAAGUCUCAAGUAAUGUCAGGCAAGUCAGACUCGAGUCUCAAGUCACUGGUGUAAAAGUCCGAGUAAAGUCUGAAAUUUUGAAUUUCAAGUCCUUUCGAGUCUUUAAAAAUAAAAAAUGAAAAAAGAAUGUUGCAGUUAUAUGCUAAAUGUAAAUAUUAGACCAUGUGAUUUUUAAAUCUGUGUUUUUCUCAACACAUGACAAAAUAGUGAACUUAGAAAAUAUACACAAAUUGUGAAAUUGCACCUCUAUAAAAUGCAGCUCAAUUAAACUUAGCACCUAGAAUAAUUUUCACCGACAGUUCUGAGAUAAGCUGCAUGUUAUUCUUGGAUGCGGUUGUAGGACCGGCUUUAAAAUAGCAUGACAAAAAUAUCAUACACAUUAAAAAAAACUGCAUCACCAACGUAGCCUGGACAACAUUUGCUAGUUAGAUGAAGUCAUGAAGCACCACCUACC